GAUGAACGCUGGCGGCGUGCCUAAUACAUGCAAGUCGAGCGAACAGACGAGGAGCUUGCUCCUCUGACGUUAGCGGCGGACGGGUGAGUAACACGUGGAUAACCUACCUAUAAGACUGGGAUAACUUCGGGAAACCGGAGCUAAUACCGGAUAAUAUAUUGAACCGCAUGGUUCAAUAGUGAAAGACGGUUUUGCUGUCACUUAUAGAUGGAUCCGCGCCGCAUUAGCUAGUUGGUAAGGUAACGGCUUACCAAGGCAACGAUGCGUAGCCGACCUGAGAGGGUGAUCGGCCACACUGGAACUGAGACACGGUCCAGACUCCUACGGGAGGCAGCAGUAGGGAAUCUUCCGCAAUGGGCGAAAGCCUGACGGAGCAACGCCGCGUGAGUGAUGAAGGUCUUCGGAUCGUAAAACUCUGUUAUUAGGGAAGAACAAAUGUGUAAGUAACUAUGCACGUCUUGACGGUACCUAAUCAGAAAGCCACGGCUAACUGCGUG
rnacentral:rRNA from 1 species